rnacentral:tRNA from 1 species
CCUGGCCGCCGAGCGGGACGCGGCCGCGCCCUACGACGGGGCGCUGGAGAUGCACCGGCGGCUGACCGGCUCGGUGCUGGUGACCGAGC